UACGUAUGGAGCAAGCGUUAUCCGGAUUUACUGGGUGUAAAGGGAGCGCAGGCGGCUUUGCAAGUCUGAUGUGAAAGGCCGGGGCUCAACCCCGGGACUGCAUUGGAAACUGUAAAGCUAGAGUGCCGGAGAGGUAGGCGGAAUUCCUAGUGUAGCGGUGAAAUGCGUAGAUAUUAGGAGGAACACCAGUGGCGAAGGCGGCUUACUGGACGGCAACUGACGCUGAGGCUCGAAAGCGUGGGGAGCAAACAGG
rnacentral:rRNA from 1 species